AACGAACGCUGGCGGCAUGCCUAACACAUGCAAGUCGAACGAAGCCUUCGGGCUUAGUGGCGCACGGGUGCGUAACGCGUGGGAAUCUGCCCUUGGGUUCGGAAUAACAGUUAGAAAUUACUGCUAAUACCGGAUGAUGUCUUCGGACCAAAGAUUUAUCGCCUUUAGAUGGGCCCGCGUUGGAUUAGCUAGUUGGUGGGGUAAAGGCCUACCAAGGCGACGAUCCAUAGCUGGUCUGAGAGGAUGAUCAGCCACACUGGGACUGAGACACGGCCCAGACUCCUACGGGAGGCAGCAGUGGGGAAUAUUGGACAAUGGGCGAAAGCCUGAUCCAGCAAUGCCGCGUGAGUGAUGAAGGCCUUAGGGUUGUAAAGCUCUUUUACCCGAGAUGAUAAUGACAGUAUCGGGAGAAUAAGCUCCGGCUAACUCCGUG
rnacentral:rRNA from 1 species